rnacentral:rRNA from 1 species
CCUACGGGGGGCAGCAGUGGGGAAUAUUGCACAAUGGGGGAAACCCUGAUGCAGCAACGCCGCGUGAAGGAAGACGGUUUUCGGAUUGUAAACUUCUGUUCUUAGUGAAGAAGAAUGACGGUAGCUAAGGAGCAAGCCACGGCUAACUACGUGCAAGCAGCCGCGUUAAUACGGAGGUGGCAAGCUUUUUCCGGAAUUACUGGGUGUAACGGGAGCGCAGGGGGGAAGCCAAGUCAGCUGUGAAAACUACGGGCUUAACUUGUAGAAUGCAGUUGAAACUGGUUUUUUUGAGUGAAGUAGAGGUGGGCGGAAUUCCGAGUGUAGCGGUGAAAUGCGUAGAUAUUAGGAGGAACACCGGUGGCGAAGGCGGCCAACUGGACUUUAACUGACGCUGAGGCUCGAAAGUGUGGGGAGCAAACAGGAUUAGAUACCCGGGUAGUC